UGGGGAAUUUUGGACAAUGGGCGAAAGCCUGAUCCAGCAAUGCCGCGUGUGUGAAGAAGGCCUUCGGGUUGUAAAGCACUUUUGUCCGGAAAGAAAUCCUUGGCUCUAAUACAGUCGGGGGAUGACGGUACCGGAAGAAUAAGCACCGGCUAACUACGUGCCAGCAGCCGCGGUAAUACGUAGGGUGCAAGCGUUAAUCGGAAUUACUGGGCGUAAAGCGUGCGCAGGCGGUUUGCUAAGACCGAUGUGAAAUCCCCGGGCUCAACCUGGGAACUGCAUUGGUGACUGGCAGGCCAGAGUAUGGCAGAGGGGGGUAGAAUUCCACGUGUAGCAGUGAAAUGCGUAGAGAUGUGGAGGAAUACCGAUGGCGAAGGCAGCCCCCUGGGCCAAUACUGACGCUCAUGCACGAAAGCGUGGGGAGCAAAACAGGAUUAGAUACCCUGGUAGUCCACGCCCUAAACGAUGUCAACUAGUUGUUGGGGAUUCAUUUCCUUAGUAACGUAGCUAACGCGUGAAGUUGACCGCCUGGGGAGUACGGUCGCAAGAUUAAAACUCAAAUGAAUUGACGGGGUC
rnacentral:rRNA from 1 species